GUGGUUCACUGGUAGAACUCUUGCUUUCUGUGCAGAAGGCCCAGGUUCAAUUCCUGGC
rnacentral:tRNA from 1 species